rnacentral:misc_RNA from 1 species
AACGGUCUAUACCUGCGGUACCUGCGGAAGGAUCAUUAUUGAACAAUCAAACCAAUGUGGGCAAGUUGUAGCUGGCCUCUCGGGGCAUGUGCACGCUUGUCUGCAAUUGUUCUCCAUCCACCUGUGAACAUUUUGUAGAUUUGCGAAGCUUACGGAUGAGGGGCAACCUUCCGUAGUAAUGAUUCGCGGUCUAUGUUUCAUAAACACCAAUGAAUGUCAAAGAAUGUCUUGUUAUAUUCA